rnacentral:rRNA from 1 species
AACGGCAGCACAGAGGAACUUGUUCCUUGGGUGGCGAGUGGCGGACGGGUGAGUAAUGUAUCGGAACGUGCCCAGUAGUGGGGGAUAACUACGCGAAAGCGUGGCUAAUACCGCAUAUUCUCUACGGAGGAAAGGGGGGGAUCAUUUGACCUCUCGCUAUUGGAGCGGCCGAUAUUAGAUUAGCUAGUUGGUGGGGUAACGGCCUACCAAGGCGAUGAUCUAUAGCUGGUUUGAGAGGACGACCAGCCACACUGGGACUGAGACACGGCCCAGACUCCUACGGGAGGCAGCAGUGGGGAAUUUUCGACAAUGGGGGGAACCCUGAUCGAGCCAUCCCGCGUGUGGGACGAAGGCCUUCGGGUUGUAAACCACUUUUCUCAACGAAGAAAAGCCUUAGACUAAUACUCUGAGGUGCUGACGGUAGUUGAGGAAUAAGCACCGGCUAACUAUGUGCCAGCAGCCGCGGUAAUACAUAGGGUGCAAGCGUUAAUCGGAAUUACUGGGCGUAAAGGGUGCGCAGGCGGCUUGGAAAGAACGGUGUGAAAUCCCGGGGCUCAACCCCGGAACUGCACUAUUAACUAUCAAGCUAGAGUAUGUCAGAGGGGGGUG